UACGUAGGGGGCAAGCGUUGUCCGGAAUCAUUGGGCGUAAAGAGCGUGUAGGCGGCCCGGUAAGUCCGCUGUGAAAGUCCAGGGCUCAACCCUGGGAUGCCGGUGGAUACUGUCGGGCUCGAGUCCGGAAGAGGAGUGUGGAAUUCCGUGGUGUAGCGGUGAAAUGCGCAGAUAUCAGGAGGAACACCAAUGGCGAAGGCAG
rnacentral:rRNA from 1 species